GCAAGUCUGGUGCCAGCAGCCGCGGUAAUUCCAGCUCCAAUAGCGUAUAUUAAAGUUGUUGCAGUUAAAAAGCUCGUAGUUGAAGUAUGGGCCUGGGCGGGCGGUCUACCUAUGGUGAGUACUGCUGCGGCCGGGUCUUUCCUUCUGGCUAGCCCUUGUGGCGAACCAGGACGAUUACUUUGAGGAAAUUAGAGUGUUCAAAGCAGGCCUUUGCUCGAAUAUAUUAGCAUGGAAUAAUAGAAUAGGACGUAUGGUUCUAUUUUGUUGGUUUCUAGGACCAUCGUAAUGAUUAAUAGGGACGGUCGGGGGCAUCAGUAUUCAGUUGUCAGAGGUGAAAUUCUUGGGUUAACUGAAGACUAACUACUGCGAAAGCAUUUGCCAAA
rnacentral:rRNA from 2 species